rnacentral:rRNA from 1 species
CCUACGGGAGGCAGCAGUGAGGAAUAUGGGUCAAGGGGCGCGAGCCUGAACCAGCCAAGGAGCGUGAAGGAGGACGGCCCGACGGGUUGUAAACUUCUUUUAUAAAGGAAUAAAGUGAGGCACGUGUGCCUUUUUGUAUGUACUGUAUGAAGAAGGAUCGGCUACCUCCGGGCCAGCAGCCGCGGUAAUACGGAGGAUCCGAGCGUUAUCCGGAUUUAUUGGGUUUAAAGGGAGCGCAGGCGGAGGCACAAGUCAGCGGUAAAAUCGCGGGGCUCAACCCCGCUCCGCCGUUGAAACUGUGUCCCUUGAGUGCGCGAAGGGUAGGCGGAAUGCGUGGUGUAGCGGUGAAAUGCAUAGAUAUCACGCAGAACUCCGAUCGCGAAGGCAGCCUACCGGCGCGCAACUGACGCUCAUGCACGAAAGCGUGGGUAUCGAACAGGAUUAGAUACCCCGGUAGUC